rnacentral:rRNA from 1 species
GAUGAACGCUGGCGGCGUGCCUAACACAUGCAAGUCGAGCGAACGGACGAGAAGCUCGCUUCCCUGCUGUUAGCGGCGGACGGGCGAGUAACACGUGCAUAACCUACCUCUAAUACUGGGAUAAUUUCGGGAAACCGGAGAUAAUACCGGCUGAUAUUUUGAACCGCAUGGUUCAAAAGUGCAAGACGCUUUUGCUGUCACUUAUAGAUGGAUCCGCGCUGCAUUAGCUAGUUGGUAAGGUAACGGCUUACCAAGGCAACGAUGCAUAGCCGACCUGAGAGGGUGAUCGGCCACACUGGAACUGAGACACGGUCCAGACUCCUACGGGAGGCAGCAGUGGGGAAUCUUGCGCAAUGGGCGAAAGCCUGACGCAGCAACGCCGCGUGGGUGAUGAAGGUCUUCGGAUCGUAAAGCUCUGUUAUUGGGGAAGAACAGAUGUGUGAGUAACUGUGCACAUCUUGACGGUACCUAAACAAAAAGCCACGGCUAACUACGUG